rnacentral:rRNA from 1 species
GGGACAACCCGCCGAAAGGCGGGCUAAACCCGCGUACAUGCCACCGGGGCAUCCCGGAGGCAGGAAAGGCUUCGGCCGGACAGGGAUGGGCAUGCGGCGCAUUAGGCAGUAGGCGGGGUAACGGCCCACCUAACCGACGAUGCGUAGGGGUUCUGAGAGGAAGGUCCCCCACACUGGUACUGAGACACGGACCAGACUCCUACGGGAGGCAGCAGUGAGGAAUAUUGGUCAAUGGUCGGGAGACUGAACCAGCCAAGCCGCGUGAGGGAUGAAGGUACAGAGUAUCGUAAACCUCUUUUGUCAGGGAACAAAGGCGGGGACGUGUCUCCGGAUGAGUGUACCUGAAGAAAAAGCAUCGGCUAACUCCGUGCCAGCAGCCGCGGUAAUACGGAGGAUGCGAGCGUUAUCCGGAUUUAUUGGGUUUAAAGGGUGCGCAGGCGGUCUGUUAAGUCAGCGGUCAAAGCCCGGGGCUCAACCCCGGCCCGCCGUUGAAACUGGCAGUCUCGAGUUGGAGAGAAGUAUGCGGAAUGCGCGGUGUAGCGGUGAAAUGCAUAGAUAUCGCGCAGAACUCCGAUUGCGAAGGCAGCAUGCCGGCUCCACACUGACGCUGAGGCACGAAAGCGUGGGUAUCGAACAGGAUUAGAUACCCUGGUAGUCCACGCAGUAAACGAUGAAUGCUGGCUGUCCG